UACGGAGGUUGCAAGCGUUGUUCGGAAUGACUGGGCGUAAAGGGAGCGCAGGCGGCCAAGUCAGUCUGAAGUGAAAGCCCGGGGCUCAACCCCGGAAUUGCUUUGGAUACUGCUUGGCUUGAGUAUGCGAGAGGAAAGCGGAAUUCCAGGUGUAGCGGUGAAAUGCGUAGAUAUCUGGAGGAACACCGGUGGCGAAAGCGGCUUUCUGGCGCAUCACUGACGCUGAGGCUCGAAAGCGUGGGGAG
rnacentral:rRNA from 1 species